rnacentral:lncRNA from 1 species
GCAUCAUAUGUGCACCAUCUAGACUGUGCAAAGAAGAGCACCGCAGCAAGACAUUAACCAUUGGAGGAGCUUAUGAUGAUGAUCAUCUCGUGCUGAUCAAAGCUAAGACCAACAAUCAUGGGAGGCUUAAGAGCAUUGUUACAACAUGAAGAGGUAACAAACUCCUUGCUUACAAUCUCAAAUCCUAUUUAAUUUUUAAGCUAUUCAAUGUUACUUUUAGGCUCAUACCUUUAUAUUCUUUUUUGGGUAACCCUAAAAGUACGUCAAUAACUAGUUCCAUAGAUGAUUAAUAUUAAUUACUCAAAAAUCCACAAUAAAAACCCACAAUUAAAAAAAAACCCAUAACAAGAAUUGCAAUAUAGAGCAUUUAAGUUUUAAAAAAUCCCAGAUUCAUCCAUGUCAUAAAACUAAAGCUCAAAAGCAGCAAAAUCCCUAAUUGAUAACAUAACAAAAAACAUUUAGAUUAAUAUUAUAAAAGGGGAUAACCUUAAUCGACACUCUGCAUGAUAUCCUCAGCCGAAAACUUAGUACCCUUAUCCUUAUCAGCGGCAGCGCGUCCUUUAGCCUUACGAUCCAGCAAUGACUUCCGAUCCUUGUCGAGUCUCAGCUUGGUGAUGACAACCUUCGAUGCGUUGAUACCGACGUUGACGGUCGAUCCGUUCACUUUCUCCCGCGUGAUACGCUCAAUGUGGAUC